GAAAGCGAAGAACCUUACCUGGGCUUGACAUCUGCGGAACCUUAUGGAAACAUGGGGGUGCCUGGCAACAGGAGCCGCAAGACAGGUGCUGCAUGGCUGUCGUCAGCUCGUGUCGUGAGAUGUUGGGUUAAGUCCCGCAACGAGCGCAACCCUUGUCUUUAGUUGCCAUCAUUUAGUUGGGCACUCUAAAGAGACUGCCGGUGUUAAACCGGAGGAAGGUGGGGAUGACGUCAAGUCCUCAUGGCCCUUAUGUCCAGGGCUACACACGUGCUACAAUGGUCGGUACAAAGGGUUGCGAUACCGUGAGGUGGAGCCAAUCCCACAAAGCCGAUCUCAGUUCGGAUCGGAGUCUGCAACUCGACUCCGUGAAGUUGGAAUCGCUAGUAAUCGUGGAUCAGCAUGCCACGGUGAAUACGUUCCCGGGUCUUGUACACACCG
rnacentral:rRNA from 1 species